UACGGAGGGUGCAAGCGUUAUCCGGAUUCACUGGGUUUAAAGGGUGCGUAGGAGGGCAGGUAAGUCAGUGGUGAAAUCUUCGAGCUUAACUCGGAAACUGCCGUUGAUACUAUCUGUCUUGAAUACCGUGGAGAUGAGCGGAAUAUGUCAUGUAGCGGUGAAAUGCUUAGAUAUGACAUAGAACACCAAUUGCGAAGGCAGCUCGUUACACGAAUAUUGACUCUGAGGCACGAAAGCGUGGGGAGCGAACAGG
rnacentral:rRNA from 1 species